rnacentral:tRNA from 1 species
GCCCGGCUGGCACAAUUGGUUAGCGCGUGGGCCUUUUAAGCAUUAAUUGUAGACAUCUAUCUAUUAUUAGAAAAAGCAGAGCCCAAGGUUGAGAGUUCGAGCCUCUCGUCGGGCG